CCUGGCUCACGAUGAACGCUAGCUACAGGCUUAACACAUGCAAGUCGAGGGGCAGCAUGGUCUUAGCUUGCUAAGGCCGAUGGCGACCGGCGCACGGGUGAGUAACACGUAUCCAACCUGCCGUCUACUCUUGGACAGCCUUCUGAAAGGAAGAUUAAUACAAGAUGGCAUCAUGAGUCCGCAUGUUCACAUGAUUAAAGGUAUUCCGGUAGACGAUGGGGAUGCGUUCCAUUAGAUAGUAGGCGGGGUAACGGCCCACCUAGUCUUCGAUGGAUAGGGGUUCUGAGAGGAAGGUCCCCCACAUUGGAACUGAGACACGGUCCAAACUCCUACGGGAGGCAGCAGUGAGGAAUAUUGGUCAAUGGGCGAGAGCCUGAACCAGCCAAGUAGCGUGAAGGAUGACUGGCCUAUGGGUUGUAAACUUCUUUUAUAAAGGAAUAAAGUCGGGUAUGGAUACCCGUUUGCAUGUACUUUAUGAAUAUAGGAUCGGCUAACUCCGUGCCAGCAGCCGCGGUAAUACGGAGGAUCCGAGCGUUAUCCGGAUUUAUGGGUUUAAAGGGAGCGUAGAUGGAUGUUUAAAUCAGUUGUGAAAGUUUGCGGCUCAACCGUAAAAUUGCAGUUGAUACUGGAUAUCUUGAGUGCAGUUGAGGCAGGCGGAAUUCGUGGUGUAGCGGUGAAAUGCUUAGAUAUCACGAAGAACUCCGAUUGCGAAGGCAGCCUGCUAAGCUGCAACUGACAUUGAGGCUCGAAAGUGUGGGUAUCAAACAGGAUUAGAUACCCUGGUAGUCCACACGGUAAACGAUGAAUACUCGCUGUUUGCGAUAUACUGCAAGCGGCCAAGCGAAAGCGUUAAGUAUUCCACCUGGGGAGUACGCCGGCAACGGUGAAACUCAAAGGAAUUGACGGGGGCCCGCACAAGCGGAGGAACAUGUGGUUUAAUUCGAUGAUACGCGAGGAACCUUACCCGGGCUUAAAUUGCAGAUGAAUUACGGUGAAAGCCGUAAGCCGCAAGGCAUCUGUGAAGGUGCUGCAUGGUUGUCGUCAGCUCGUGCCGUGAGGUGUCGGCUUAAGUGCCAUAACGAGCGCAACCCUUGUUGUCAGUUACUAACAGGUUCCGCUGAGGACUCUGACAAGACUGCCAUCGUAAGAUGUGAGGAAGGUGGGGAUGACGUCAAAUCAGCACGGCCCUUACGUCCGGGGCUACACACGUGUUACAAUGGGGGGUACAGAGGGCCGCUACCACGCGAGUGGAUGCCAAUCCCCAAAACCUCUCUCAGUUCGGACUGGAGUCUGCAACCCGACUCCACGAAGCUGGAUUCGCUAGUAAUCGCGCAUCAGCCACGGCGCGGUGAAUACGUUCCCGGGCCUUGUACACACCGCC
rnacentral:rRNA from 1 species